GCUUACCACACGAUUUUGUUGAAAAAAGAGGUGGUAUGUUUGAUGUUUCAGGUGAGGGGAUUUGGACUCCUAGCAUCUUAUGUGAUUAAGGACUUGUAAUUUCACAACACUCUUAAGGACCUGAGAGAUUCUAGGUGAAACGAAAACCCGACACAUAUGAUUUUAAGGUUGGAGAAUUCUUGAAGAGGUUCAAGUCCAUCCCCAGCAUUAUUGAGCUUGAUAGCUUGAAGGUUUUUGGUGAUGUGUGGUUUGGAUCUAAUGUUGUUCUCAAGGGUAAAGUGCUGGUUGCUGCAAAUUCUGGAGAGAAGUUGGAAAUUCCGGAUGGAGCUGUACUUCAAAACAGUUUUUUUGUGGAGUAAAAAGUGGUUUCAACCACUGUUGGGUCAAAACGGUGGUCUGAAACCACUGUUGGGUUAAAACGGUGGUUGAAACCACUGUUGGGUUAAAACUGUGGUUUGAAACCACUGUUGGGUUAAACAACCACUGUUGGGUUCGAAUCCAAUCUUUUAAUGGAGUUUCAUUCUCACACACACCUCAAAACCUAGGUUUAUUGAAUCCAUAUCAUCCGAUUAUUAAUCAUCAUUUUGAUUCAUGUUAAUCUGAAUUCGCAUUUCGUUUCGAUCAGUGGUGCUUUGUUCGAUUUGAUGCCAGUAGAUGUUUUUUUCAAUGUUUUUAUGUCAUAUACUGAUAUUAUUCAAUUUGAAUAUAAUGUAUGUAUUAAUCAUUAUAUAUUUCAAAUUUUGAAGUGUUUAUGUGUAAUAUUUCAUCUAGCGUACACAUUAUUUUAGCAUACAGAUUGUUUAAUCGAACAAUAUGUAGUGUAUUGAUCAGUUUCAGAGAGGGAUAGAUAAUCGCAUAAUAUGUAGUGUAUUGACCAGUUUCAGAGAGAGAUCGAACAGAUUUGAUCUCCAGAGAAAGAUAGAACAUAUUUGAUCACCGGUGAAGGACCUUCGACCGACGACUGUUUAAGAGCUACAUCAGUUAAAAAAAGCAAGAUUUCAAAAGUGAUGCUAUAGUUGCAACCUAUUACUUGGUGAGAACAUAUACAUUUACAUGGCAGAUGGUAUAUCAAGCUUUUGGGGGCAGGUCACAUCGUCCCAUGAAUGGUGUGAGAAGAACUAUGUGGUUUCUUCAUACGUUGCUGAGUUUUAUAAACUCAUUUCAGUUGGAAUUUCAGGUUUUUUGAGUUGGGUUCCAAUAAUGAACAUCCCUAAUUUGAUAAAUGGUGUUGUUUAACAGGGUUAGGAGCAUACAAGUAGAGAGAAGGUGAACAAUGUCGUCGAUGAAUGAACAAAGUCUUGAGAAAAGCCAGCCAACUGAGAGAUUUUCAAGCCUAUGUAUGAAGCAAUAGAGAUGAGUAUCCGCAGGGAAAAAGGUUAUCCAAUAGAGAUGAGUAUCCAAUAAAAUGUUAGUAUGAAGAGGUUAUCCAAUUAUAAGAAAUCAUAUAUAUAAAAUUCUUUUGUAAAUAUAAAUUUUUAUAAAACAACCCAUAACCCGUGAAGCUCACGGGUAUAUAACCUAGUGGUGUUAUAUACUUACUGAAUGGUGUUAUAUACGUGUUGAA